ACCCCAUCCCCUUUAGCUCUGCCAAAAAUUAAAUGGCUAUGUUACAACUUGCCAGCCAAAAGCUUAACUCUUUGGGGUCCAGGGUAUAAUUGGCCAUUUUUGACUACUUUUGGUUUUGCCUUCAUAAUUUAC